AACGCAAAUUGCGCUCUCUGGUAUUCCGGAGAGCAUGCUUGUUUGAGUAUCAGUAAACACCUCAAAUCCUGAAUUGUUUUUCAGAAUUUGGAUUUGAGUGAACCCAACGUUGGCCUUCCUGUGUAAGGUGUGGCGGCGGGUCGCUUGAAAUGCAGGUGCGGCUGGGACUAUUCUUCUGAGCUAUAAGCAUAUUUAUUUAGUCCCGUAAAACGGAUUAUUACUUUUUGCUGCAGCUAACAUAAAGGUUGAAUGUCCUAAUUGCUGACUGAUGCAGGAAUAUUACAGUUUCGUAGGCGCGCAAGCAAUUACAACUGUUAAACUCGAUCUCAAAUCAAGUAAGAUUACCCGCUGAACUUAA
rnacentral:misc_RNA from 1 species